rnacentral:misc_RNA from 1 species
AGAAGAAGAAGACUGAAAAAUCAACGGCGACGAGUACGGGUUUUCAAUGAACUUUACCUUUGUAGUAUUAGCACUAAUACAAGUUGUUGAGGCUCCUUCAGGGUCUGUGUCAAGAAACUUCAUAAGCUCAUCCACCGUAUCAUCGUCCAUUGAAAGCCAAGCUGCGAUUUCCUCACCCAGAUCACCGGACGUGUCAGGAAGCGACGGAGUUCGAGACCCUUCUUCUCUCUUUCCGGAAUCCUCCGUCUCCAUGGUGGGUUGUGCUUGUGAUUCUCCUUUUGAUGUACUCAUUAAAGUAAUGGCAGAGCCGUAUGGUUUGUUAGGGUCUAUAAAUACUCUUUGUCUCUUCUCUGUGACGACUAAGAGCACGCGGCAGCGUGGGCGAGAAGGCUCUGAAUUUUUAUUUUUUAAUUUUUGGUAGUUAGGUGGGUCCCUAAGAAGAAGAUAUUGUGAUUCUCGUCAGACGGUUUUGGAGCCACUUGAUAUGAUCUGAACGGUUGUGAAAGUGCAUAGGUAAGUGACGUGGCUGUUGAGGAAAAAGGCGGGAAUUUAAUGGAGAGAGAAGGACAGAAGAGUAGGGGCUGCUUCUGAAUGCAGAAAGCAACCCUUGAUACACGGAUUUGGAUUUUGGUAUCUUGCGAUAUCCCAUUUACGUUUUUGCCCUCCUUUUCGUAUUCUUAUUUCUCCUGUUGCCACUGAAGUAUAAUUAUCACAUGAAAUGACUUAAUUUUAUUAAUAUUUUUAUAAAA